GGAGGGUACAGCUCAGUGGCAGAGCACAUGCUUAGCAUGCAUGAGGUCCUGGGUUCAAUCCCCAGUCCCUCCA
rnacentral:tRNA from 1 species